ACGAUGGGUAGGGGAACUGAGAGGUUUAUCCCCCACACUGGUACUGAGACACGGACCAGACUCCUACGGGAGGCAGCAGUGAGGAAUAUUGGUCAAUGGGCGAGAGCCUGAACCAGCCAAGUCGCGUGAAGGAAGACCGUCCUAAGGAUUGUAAACUUCUUUUAUACGGGAAUAACGGGCGAUACGAGUAUUGCAUUGAAUGUACCGUAAGAAUAAGCAUCGGCUAACUCCGUGCCAGCAGCCGCGGUAAUACGGAGGAUGCGAGCGUUAUCCGGAUUUAUUGGGUUUAAAGGGUGCGUAGGUUGUUCGGUAAGUCAGCGGUGAAACCUGAGCGCUCAACGUUCAGCCUGCCGUUGAAACUGCCGGGCUUGAGUUCAGUGGCGGCAGGCGGAAUUCGUGGUGUAGCGGUGAAAUGCAUAGAUAUCACGAGGAACUCCGAUUGCGAAGGCAGCUUGCCAUACUGCGACUGACACUGAAGCACGAAGGCGUGGGUAUCAAACAGGAUUAGAUACCCUGGUAGUCCACGCAGUAAACGAUGAUUACUAGGAGUUUGCGAUAUACCGUCAAGCUUCCACAGCGAAAGCGUUAAGUAAUCCACCUGGGGAGUACGCCGGCAACGGUGAAACUCAAAGGAAUUGACGGGGGCCCGCACAAGCGGAGGAACAUGUGGUUUAAUUCGAUGAUACGCGAGGAACCUUACCCGGGAUUGAAAUGUAGAUGACGGAUGGUGAAAACCGUCUUCCCUUCGGGGCUUCUAUGUAGGUGCUGCAUGGUUGUCGUCAGCUCGUGCCGUGAGGUGUCGGCUUAAGUGCCAUAACGAGCGCAACCCACAUCGGUAGUUGCUAACAGUUUUCGCUGAGGACUCUACCGAGACUGCCGUCGUAAGGCGUGAGGAAGGUGUGGAUGACGUCAAAUCAGCACGGCCCUUACAUCCGGGGCGACACACGUGUUACAAUGGGAGGGACAAAGGGCAGCUACCGGGCGACCGGAUGCGAAUCUCUAAACCCUUCCCCAGUUCGGAUCGGAGUCUGCAACUCGACUCCGUGAAGCUGGAUUCGCUAGUAAUCGCGCAUCAGCCAUGGCGCGGUGAAUACGUUCCCGGGCCUUGUACACACCGCCCGUCAAGCCAUGGGAGUCGGGGGUACCUGAAGGGCGUAACCGCAAGGGGCGCACUAGGGUAAUACCGGUGACUGGGGCUAAGUCGUAACAAGGUAGCCGUACCGGAAGGUGCGGCUGGAACACCUCCUUUCUGGAG
rnacentral:rRNA from 1 species